rnacentral:lncRNA from 13 species
GUGAGGAAAUUGUGUAUUAGUUAUAAAAGGCAAAACUUCAUCUCUGUUGUCCUUGUGUUCCAGAGGAGGCACUGGGGAGAAACAGCUUAUUGUUGUCCAUCCACUGUGUAACAGCCUAUACAUUGCAAGGAGGCAACAAAGGCUUGGAGCAUUUCUCUAAGAGAGAUCAGUUUCUGAGCACCUGCUGGAAGUGCUGCUGUUUCUGGACCCCAGUGUCCUGGUGUAGCCCUGCUCAGCCUCCCACUGGCCCUUCAGAGCUGGCAUGGAUUCAGCUAGAGGGAAGAGCUGGAAAUCAGAGAUGGUGUUUCAUGAGCCCUUAAGCAUCAAGACAGCCUCAUCAUGGCCUCUGUUUGAAGAAGUCUCAACAGAAAAGAACACCCUUCCCCUUACAUCUCAUUUACAGUAGAUGAAGGAGAAGCAAAGGAAAAGAGAGAGAAUAUUCCUGUUCGUCCAAGUUGAAUGAAGGACAGAAAUUCCCCAACAGUGUAUAGACCCCUUUAGCCCAGUAAUUAGAUAACGUGCUCUGAGCUUUGUAUGAAUGGCAUUUAUUUUUGUUUUGCUACUGUUUGAUGGCAAGACUUAACCACUUCUUGCCCAGAGCAAUAUAGUGCUGAACAGUUCAGCAUCGUAUACCUACAUCAGCAUCAACAUAUUUUUGUAUGAUUCAGUUGAGUAAAUACCAAGGUGUAAACUCAGGUUUUAUUAUGGAGCACAGUAAUUUAUCUUUGUAUGUGGGUGUAGUGGAGCAGACAAAAACCUGCAAUAUUCUGUCUCUCUAGCUCCCUAAUUCUUUUGAUACGGGGGUAAGAUCAUAGAUAUUCUCAAGUAUAAAGAUAUGAAUAUGCAAAGAUUUUACACUGUGCUUAGUUUUCUGGUUGCACUAAGCAAUGCAUUCUUUGCAGGAGUCAGCCAGAAAGCUGGGUGAAAAGUGGCCUGGUGCUGGAUAAAACCUUUUAUGGAGUGAGUGAUGUCCCAUACAGAUACAUUACAAAUGUAUAAGGUAAAAUCCUUUAAAGCUCCAUGAAGUCAAAGAGAGAAGUUGUUUGACUUUAUAGUCAAACUUCUACAAUGUAAGUAAAGUAGAAUAGCUGACUGGAAAAAGAACAGCAUCUUGAUGUUAUUUAUCUUCAUUCAGAAUCUCAUGCUUUUAAAGCUUGCAUCUCUUUUGCCUCAGAUAACAGAAAAUUCAGUCAGCAAACUUUACGAAGAGGAGUAGCUCAGUACAGGUGUUCUUAAUAGUCAGUGUUCUGAGUGAGGAAUCCUGUGUGAAACUUUGAAUCUCAAACAUAGCUUCCUCUGAAUUAAGCAGGUUGUUUGGGGUUUUUGGUCUAGUCUGCUUCAGAACUGUCUCACUUUCUUAACAGCUUCUGUAAAGACUAUGCUCAGCCUUGCAAACUGUGUUAUUCCCGUGGCAUUAUUCCUAGUGAGUCCUACUACAGAAACUCCCUACUCUCUCACAAGCAGUUGAUGCUUUUACCUUGCUCUUAAUAUACCAAGCAGUCACAGGAC